rnacentral:rRNA from 1 species
AAUGUAAAAUUUAUAUUAGUUGUUUAAAAAAAAUAUUUUUAUAGUUAGUAGUUUAAUGAAUAUUAUUUUUAUAUUAUAGUUAAUUGUAUAGUGAUAGGGUGUUGAAAUAUAUUAAAAUUUAAAUUUUAGGUAAAGAAGAUUUUAUUUAUUGUACCUUGUGUAUCAGGGUUUAUUAAAAUAAUUUAAUUAGUUAGUUUUCUCGAGUUAAUAAGAGUUAAUAUUAUAUAGAUUUAAUUGUGUCAUAAAUUUUUAUAAUAUAAUAUUAGAAAUGAAACGUUAUUCGUUUUUUAAGAUAUCUAGUUUUUUAAGAAAUAAAUUUAAUUUAGUUUAUAGUGUUUUAUUAUUUUAAUUAGUUAAUAUAAUAAAUAUAUGAUUAAAUAUUUUAAGGGAUAAGCUUUAGAAUAGAUUAUUAUAAUAAUAAUAUUUUAAGAUGAAUAAUUGUAGGAUUGGAAAUUUUUAUCUAUAGUAUGUUAUAAUUAAUUUUCAUUUAUGAUAAUAUUUAUAUUGUAGUUUAAGUUAUUUAUUAAAAUGGCGUAUUAAAUAUGGAAUUAUUAGUAAUAAUGAUAAAAUUAGUAUAAUUUAGUUUAUUAUUAUAUUUUAGGGUUUAGGUUAAAUUAAGGAACUCGGCAAAUAAAUUUUCCGCCUGUUUAUUAAAAACAUGUCUUUUUGAAUAUAAUUUAAAGUCUGACCUGCCCAAUGAGGAGUUGAAUGGCCGCGGUAUUUUGACCGUGCAAAGGUAGCAUAAUCAUUAGUUUUUUAAUUGAAAGCUGGAAUGAAUGGUUGGACGAGAAAAAAGCUGUCUCAAUUUAAUUUAAAUUAGAACUUUAUUUUUAAGUAAAAAAGCUUAAAUAAUUUUAAAAGACGAGAAGACCCUAUAGAGUUUUAUAUUUUUUUAUUUGUUUAUAGUUUAGUAUUAUAGAGGUUUUCAUAUUAAAAAAUAUUUUGUUGGGGUGAUAGAAAAAUUUAAUAAACUUUUUUUAUACAUUAAACAUUAAUGUAUGAAUUUUUGAUCCAUUUAUUAUGAUUAUAAGAUUAAAUUACCUUAGGGAUAACAGCGUAAUUUUUUUUGAGAGUUCAUAUCGAAAAAAGAGUUUGCGACCUCGAUGUUGGAUUAAAAUUUACUUUUGGUGUAGGAGCUAGAAGGUUAGGUCUGUUCGACCUUUAAAAUUUUACAUGAUCUGAGUUUAAACCGGCGUGAGCCAGGUUGGUUUCUAUCUUUAAAUAGAGAAAAUAUUUUAGUACGAAAGGACCAAAUAUUUAUAACAUUUAUUAUAAAUUGAUUAUUAUU